ensembl:lncRNA
UUGCUCUUGGAUGCCUGCCUCCUCCCCUGCCCCCUUCUCUCACUCUCUCUAAUUCCUGGCAACCACUGAUCUGUUUUCUAUUUCUAAUUUUUUUUUUUUUGUCUGUGGAUGUUCAUUUGCUCCAGCAUCAUUUUUAAAAAAUGCUUUCAUUUCUCUUUUGAAUUUCUUUUGCAUCUUUGUCAAAACUAAAUUGUGCAUAUUUGAGUGGGUCUAUCUCUUGUUCCCUGCUUCAUCCCAUUGACCUGUGUAUCGAUCCCUAUACCAACACCCACUGUCCUAACUGUAACUGUACAGUAAGCCUUAAUAUUGAGUAGAGCGAUUUCUCCACUUUGUUCUUUGUCAAGAUCAUUUUCAGCACGUCUAUGGCCUGAGCCUUUCCAUAUAAACUUUAGAAUAAGAUGUCUGUCUGAAAAAAAAAAAAAAAAACUUCCUAGCUGCAGUUUUGACAGGAAUUGCAUCGAACCUACGGAUCUCUUGGGGGAGAACUGUCAUCUCUGCUAUGUUGUACCUUCCAGUCUCUGGACAUGGUAUGCCUCACCACUGAUUUAGGUUUUCUCCGAUCAGCAUUCUUGACACAUACAAAGUUUCUGAUUAGCACCCAGAUGGCAUCACCGACUCAAUGGAUGUGAGUCCGAGUGAAGUCUGGGAGUUGGUGAUGGACGGGGAGGCCUGGCGUGCUGCAAUUCACAGGGUUGCAGAGUCGGACACGACUGAGCGACUGAACUGAACUGAACUGAACUGAACUUUUAUUCAUUGAGCAUCUACUGUAUGCUAGAUGAGGAGCCUAAGACUCACAGUGUUGCGUCAGCUUUCUCGAAGUUACACGGCUCAUGGGAAGCAGGGCUGAGAUCAGAACUCUGAGGAGCUGAUUCCAGCUUCCAGGGUCUUGAGUGCCAUGAGAUACUGCCCCUUCCAUGGGAAAACUCAGGACCAGAAAAAGAAAGGGGUCUACCUGAGCCAAUCGGAAGAAAGGGGCCCAGAUGUCAAACCUCUUGCUCCGCCUUGGGACCUCUUCACAAGGCCACCCGUGUCAUCCCCAUGGUCUUGCGCAUGGGCAGCUACUGGCCUCUGGGGUUUCACCUCCGGGAAAUGUUUCAAAUGGAAUAUGCAGACACUCAAGCACUGCCCAUUAAACUAAUGAUGGCAUAUUGAAUGUAACGAAUUACAUUCGUGUUAAGAGAAGACAACCGGAAACAUUUUCCUAGAAACCCAGUGAAUUCUUCCAGGAAACUGCUCUGAAGAGCAGUGAUGAGUUGGGGAACUUUUGGGAUUAGUUCUGAAGGUCAUUUCCUGGGGCAGGGAAGAGAGGGAAGCCAGGCAGCC